GAAAAUUAAAGAUCAAUUGUGUCUUGAUUUCCCGGUUGAUUUAUCGUUUCCCUUAAGUCAAUAAUGGUUACAAUCACUUCUUCCGUCAAGUUUACCGGUGCAAUUUAAUGGUCCAAGUGGCCGAUGUGUUGUCGACUGAAAUUUGAUUUUACGUCAGCUCAGAAGAAGCCAAGCCUAAUUUAAUAGAGCGGCAGAUGAUGUGCAAAGAAAUGAUGAAAUGCUUGAAGUGGCAACAAAAAAAUGUAAUUAAAAGUUGCCAGAAGCAAGGAAGCGCUGGAGGAAGUGACGAGAAAGAGAGGCAGAUUCGUUCUAAUCCAUUGCUGAUCAUGCCUUACAGUUUGGAUGCGACAUUCUAUUGUAAGCGACUAGAUAAUCUUAUGACUGAAUAAUACUCUGAUCAUGGUGAUAGAGUUAUCAGUGCAACAUAAUUCUACCAAGAUGUCUUCUCCUUGGAUUGCUCAAUGAUUACCAGGCCCGGAACUUGGGGAUAAAAAAAUGUUUGUAUUGUUUCAACCGAAGACAAUGCUAUCCGGCACAGUUUGAAGAUGUCAAGGACAAGCAUAUAGUAUAGUUUAUGCCCUGAUAAUAAAUAAUAAUAUCAUAUAAUUGAAGUCUAUAAUUAUGCCGUUUGUAAUAAUAGUUCGAAUCCACAUGAUGAUAAUAAUUAAUUUGUAGUCUUAAAACUGCACAGGUGGAAAAUGUCUACCAAGGUAUGGCUACGUUUACCUAUUUUUGUGAGGAUUUGUCAUCGAAUAAAUAUAAUUGAUUUCCGCUGAUGUACUACAUACAAUUUCAACCUGAACCAGAAUUUCAUAAGUUCAGCUACUUUCCACAAACACAUUUCUAACAAAUCAUUUCAUAGUCUACAACAGCUAUUUACAAGUACAGUGACUCAUUAUUUAUGUAACGACGCAUUAAAAUCAAGUCACAUGGUACAUUAUCGUGUCCUAUAUCUUCUCCCAGGGGGUCAGAGCGUAGGUAGGAUGGUCUAAGUGAAAAUAUUGUAAAAACUUCAAUAUGCAAAUUAGCAAACUUUUCUGUGAUCUGAUUCGUCAGUGGAUGUUUCAAACGCUAAACCGCACAAUCGUUUUCGGUUUACUUAUGUUUCAGCUAUAAUUGUUUAAUUCGUGUGGCCGUCUAGAGGCACGCAAUCGAAUUAUAUAAUCUGAUUUUAGAAAAACAGUAAUUUACUCAAGUUUUGUUAAGCUUCAUCAAUAUGAUGACAAGGUUGGAAUGAAGAGUUCAGAUCAUUCAAGAGUUCCGCGUCUGAUAUUACUGUAAAUGAAAAUUGAUAAGCUGCGCUGGUGAACUGUUGACGCGCAACUGUUGACGCGAGACAGUGUUCCUAGUUUAGCGUCACUCUGAAGGUGUUUGACUGUCGCUAUUAAAUUAAAAAACGUUGUUAAAGAUUAAAAAAAUGAAGACUCACGGUACAGUGUAUGAUUGACAGGUAACCCGUCUUCGUGUCUAAUGAACGAAAAAAGUCUAAGUUUAGGUCUGUUUAGCCGAAAUUGAGUUGCAAGGACAUGACGAGUUUUGUAUAUUUUUAGCUCCAAUUUGAAGCAAACGUGAAAUAAAUCACGUUGCCGACAAAACUGAAUCACACCGAAGCGGUAACUUAUAGUAAAAUCAUGUUAUUGUUACUUCAGGAAUAUACAAAUUAACUUCUAAGCUCUACAUAUGUCCACCUAUCAAUCUAAAUUAGUUACACACCCUAGGAAUAAACUAAAACAUGUUAGACGUAGGCCUAACAGAAAGAAGUCAUAAAUAAACUAUGUAUUAUAAAGUUUCAUUAAAAGGGACAUAAAAGGGACAGACAACCCGGAUAAAACUCCAUUAAGUUAAGCUUUAAAAUAUUGCACGAAAAUAUUAAUACCAAUUUUCACUAACGAGGGCGAUGACUGGAUCGUAACUGGAUCGCUCACACGAAGAAGAAAACGAAAACACAGCUAGGUUAAUUAAAUGACUUUCUUAAACUUUAAUGCAAUUUAGGUGCGUUCGCGCAAACCCAACGCAACGCAGAGAAACGCAUUACUUUGGUUGCGUCAACAUGUUCAAAUACCUAAUUGUGAAAUAAGAUUUAAAGGCAUUUCAGCAUAUUGUAAUACAUAUUAUAACAGAUAAAAAAUACCGUAAUAUUAGGCUAAAUGAUUUUUGUAUAACAUCUUUUGGUAGUCCGAUUCUAAAAUAUUGGUUAGUUAUACCAAUUAACAAAAAAAGGAUGACUAUGACGUAAUGGACAACUUAAUUCUUUAUAAGGUUCUUUCGUAGGGUACACUUCAGCGUCAAUAUCAGUGGCUAAUUUGAAAUCUGUCUUAUCUCAUCAAACCACAACACAUUUCAUGGCUAUCAGUCACCCAUCUAACUGUCGAUGGCAACUUAAAAAAAUAGUUGUCAUAAUCAUUUCCCGUAAUGAUCUCAGAAUAUUUACAUGACGUUGCGAAAAAAAUUAGGUACGGUUUCGAAAGUCCAGAAAUUUUUAUCAAAUUGUCAAUCUUAUUCCUAAAAAGAAAGAGUACAAUAUUUUGAAGAACAACACACACAUCGACCGGGACCAAACUCCUCACUCCUAUCACCACCACCCUUUAUAA
rnacentral:lncRNA from 1 species